AUGGGKAAAAAGGKGCUUUCUCCAAACCCWGUUYUUCCCGMGGGCCCCCCCWWARGGGGKGAURWAUWUUGUUYSMWWAAACCCUUAGAGUUUGAUCCUGGCUCAGAACGAACGCUGGCGGCGUGCUUAACACAUGCAAGUCGAACGUGAUCCAGAGCUUGCUCUGGUGAAAGUGGCGCACGGGUGAGUAACGCGUGGAUAACCUGCCCUGGUAUCUGGGAUAACAUCUCGAAAGGGGUGCUAAUACCGGAUAAGCCUACGGGAUCUUCGGAUUCUGCAGGAAAAGGAGGCCUCUAUUUAUAAGCUACCGUAUCAGGAUGAGUCCGCGUACCAUUAGCUAGUUGGUGGGGUAAUGGCCCACCAAGGCUACGAUGGUUAGCUGGUCUGGGAGGAUGAUCAGCCACACUGGAACUGAGACACGGUCCAGACUCCUACGGGAGGCAGCAGUGGGGAAUUUUGCGCAAUGGGGGAAACCCUGACGCAGCAACGCCGCGUGAGUGAUGAAGGCUUUCGGGUCGUAAAGCUCUGUCAGAGGGGAAGAAAUGAGUCUGGCUAAUAUCCAGAUUUCUUGACGGUACCCUCAAAGGAAGCACCGGCUAACUACGUGCCAGCAGCCGCGGUAAUAC
rnacentral:rRNA from 1 species